GAUGAACGCUGGCGGCGUGCCUAAUACAUGCAAGUCGAGCGAACAGACGAGGAGCUUGCUCCUCUGACGUUAGCGGCGGACGGGUGAGUAACACGUGGAUAACCUACCUAUAAGACUGGGAUAAUUUCGGGAAACCGGAGCUAAUACCGGAUCAUAUAUUGAACCGCAUGGUUCAAUAGUGAAAGACGGCUUUGCUGUCACUUAUAGAUGGAUCCGCGCCGCAUUAGCUAGUUGGUAAGGUAACGGCUUACCAAGGCGACGAUGCGUAGCCGACCUGAGAGGGUGAUCGGCCACACUGGAACUGAGACACGGUCCAGACUCCUACGGGAGGCAGCAGUAGGGAAUCUUCGGCAAUGGGCGAAAGCCUGACGGAGCAACGCCGCGUGAGUGAUGAAGGUCUUCGGGUCGUAAAACUCUGUUAUUAGGAAAGAACAGAUGUGUAAGAAACUAUGCACGUCUUGACGGUACCUAAUCAGAAAGCCACGGCUAACUACGUG
rnacentral:rRNA from 1 species